CUCCAUGACGUCACACUCUUAAUACGGGGCCUUUAAGGAGUUCUGCGGCUUCUUCUGCGCCAUAAUUGUAUUAAUAUCGCGGUGACGCAACGAC